AUGGCUUUACGACUGCAGGGCAACAGGGCUCUGUUUUUGAGCAGCUCACCAAAAGAGACUAGGGAGAAUGAAAUGUUUGCCCUAAAAUUUCUUGAGCUCCCACAGUAUCGGAGUACUUUUUCUUUUUUAAAAAUUUUUGAAAUUGGAUGCCAGUUCCGGAAUGAGGGGAUUGAUUUGACACACAAUCCUGAGUUCACCACCUGUGAGUUCUACAUGGCCUAUGCAGACUAUCACAAUCUCAUAGGAAUCAUGGAGAACAUGGUUUCAGUGAUAGUGACGCAUACUACGGGCUGGUACAAGGUCUUCUACCACCCAGAUGGCCCAGAGGGCCAGGCCUAUGAAAUUGACUUCACCCCACCUUUCCAGAGAAUCAGCAUGGUAGAAGAGCUUGAGAAAGGCUUGGAGUUGAAGCUACCAGAAACUAACCUCUUUGAAACUGAAGAAACUUGCAAAAUUCUUGAUGAUAUCUGGGGGGUAAAACCUGUUGAAUGCUCUCCACCUCGGACCACAGCCAGGCUCCUUGACAAGCUUGUAAGGGAGUUACUGGAAAUGACUUGCAUCAAUCCUACGUUCACCUGUGAUCAGCCACAGAUAAUGAGCCCUUUGGCUAAAUGGCGCCGCUCUAAAGAGAGUCUGACGGAAAGCUUUGAGCUAUAUGUCAUGAAGAGAUAUGCAAUGCCUACACUGAGCUGAAUCAUCCCAUCCAGCAGCAGCAGCUUUUUGAAGAACAGGCCAAGACCAAGGCUGCAGGUGAUGAUGAGGCCAUGUUCAUAGAUGGAAACUUCUGUACUGCCUUGGAAUACGGGCUGCCCCCACGGCUGGCUGGGGUAUGGGCAUUGACCGAGUCACCAUGUUUCUCAGGGACUCCAGCAACAUCAAGGAAGUACUUCUGCUUCCUGCCAUGAAACCCGAAGACAAGAAGGAGAAUGUAGCAACCAUUGAUAUGCUAGAAAGUACAGCAGUUGGCACUUUGGUCUAGAAAAUAAUAAUUGCAAGUUGUAUAACUCAGGCGUCUUUGCAUUUCUGCAAAAGAUCAAGGUCCACAAGGGAAUUCUUGUAUGUGGCUUUCCAUUUGACUGCCGCAGUUUGGUUCAGCCAUCAGAAGAGAGACAAGGAAUUAAAAAUGUCUUUUUAAUCCUUGUUACCAAA